ensembl:lncRNA
ACCGGUUUGUUUUACCCAACUCGCAGCAAGCCAAAACGGUGAGAUGCUGAGGUUUGCACCAAAGCAAGGAGAUGGGCAAAUAGGUGUCAAAUCAUCUCGGAGAAGCCAAGACAAUCUUUGUACAGCACUGGCAUAACUAAGCUUCAGGCCUCUGCACAUUUUAAAGGUCACAAGUGCGCAUGCCUACGCAUGCCCAGACCAGCGGUCAGGGGUCCUUUCUAGCCCUAAGGCGCGCAGCUCGAACUAGACACAGCUGACUCUUGGCUCAGCCUUAACUACGUGCAGCUGACUCCAAGUUCCUGGAAAACAACUCAGGCAGGCAUCUUAUUGUUCAGGCUGCAUGCUGCCUGGAGGACGUGAAAAUCUUAAAACCUUGUUCAGAGAAGGAACCCAGUCAACUCUGAACAAGUAAAGUUCAGGAAGUGAAAUGGUGGCAACUGGAGAGUGUCCAGAAGAAUGGCCAACACUAACAUACCAUAUGUCCCAAGGCCUUCACUCUCAGGGUCAGCUGGCAGACUCUCAUGACAUGGAAGCCAGGAACAACGAGGAUGACCAG